CCUACGGGAGGCAGCAGUGAGGAAUAUUGGUCAAUGGGCGCGAGGCUGAACCAGCCAAGUCGCGUGAGGGAAGACGGUCCUAUGGAUUGUAAACCUCUUUUGUCGGGGAGCAAAAGACGCCACGUGUGGCGUUCCGAGAGUACCCGAAGAAAAAGCAUCGGCUAACUCCGUGCCAGCAGCCGCGGUAAUACGGAGGAUGCGAGCGUUAUCCGGAUUUAUUGGGUUUAAAGGGUGCGCAGGCGGAAGAGCAAGUCAGCGGUAAAAUUGAGAGGCUCAACCCCUUCGAGCCGUUGAAACUGGUUUUCUUGAGUGAGCGAGAAGUAUGCGGAAUGCGUGGUGUAGCGGUGAAAUGCAUAGAUAUCACGCAGAACUCCGAUUGCGAAGGCAGCAUACCGGCGCUCAACUGACGCUCAUGCACGAAAGUGUGGGUAUCGAACAGGAUUAGAUACCCCUGUAGUC
rnacentral:rRNA from 1 species